rnacentral:rRNA from 1 species
CAGCCGCCGCGGUAAUACGAAGGGGGCUAGCGUUGCUCGGAAUGACUGGGCGUAAAGGGCGCGUAGGCGGCUUGUACAGUCAGAUGUGAAAUUCCUGGGCUCAACCUGGGGACUGCAUUUGAUACGUACGGGCUUGAGUGGAGAAGAGGGUUGUGGAAUUUCCAGUGUAGAGGUGAAAUUCGUAGAUAUUGGAAAGAACACCGGUGGCGAAGGCGGCAACCUGGUCUUUAACUGACGCUGAGGCGCGAAAGCGUGGGGAGCAAACAGGAUUAGAUACCCGCGUAGUCCCUGUCUCUUAUAC